CCUACGGGGGGCAGCAGUGGGGAAUAUUGCACAAUGGGCGCAAGCCUGAUGCAGCCAUGCCGCGUGUGUGAAGAAGGCCUUCGGGUUGUAAAGCACUUUCAGCGGGGAGGAAGGCGGUGAGGUUAAUAACCUCAUCGAUUGACGUUACCCGCAGAAGAAGCACCGGCUAACUCCGUGCCAGCAGCCGCGGUAAUACGGAGGGUGCAAGCGUUAAUCGGAAUUACUGGGCGUAAAGCGCACGCAGGCGGUCUGUCAAGUCGGAUGUGAAAUCCCCGGGCUCAACCUGGGAACUGCAUUCGAAACUGGCAGGCUAGAGUCUUGUAGAGGGGGGUAGAAUUCCAGGUGUAGCGGUGAAAUGCGUAGAGAUCUGGAGGAAUACGGGUGGCGAAGGCGGCCCCCUGGACAAAGACUGACGCUCAGGUGCGAAAGCGUGGGGAGCAAACAGGAUUAGAUACCCUAGUAGUC
rnacentral:rRNA from 1 species